GUCCUCGUUCGCCGCCCGGCUCUGGAGCUGCUCUCGCUGCUCAAAGGCUCCGAUUUCACCCGGCCCGCGGUCAGAUACCUCAUCUACGGCGAGCGGGGCACGGGGAAGAGUCUGAGCCUGAGCCACGUCCUGCACGGCUGCUGGCGCCAGGGCUGGCUGAUCCUGCACGUGCCCGACGCUCAUGCGUGGGUGCGGAGCUGCCGGGAGCUGCUGCCCUCGUCCCACCGGAGAGAGCGGCUGGAGCAGCCCCUGCAGGCCUCAGCCUGGCUCAGGGCCUUCAAAUCCUGCAAUGAGCGAUUCCUGACAGAG